UUGUUCACUUCAGCAGCACAUGCACUAAAACAGGAAUGAUACAGAGAAGAUAAGCAUGGCCCCUGAACAUGGAUGACAUGCUAUUUCAUGAGGUAUUUAUUUAACUG
ensembl:snRNA U6 U6 spliceosomal RNA